rnacentral:rRNA from 1 species
AGCUACAGGCUUAACACAUGCAAGUCGAGGGGCAGCAUGGUCUUAGCUUGCUAAGGCCGAUGGCGACCGGCGCACGGGUGAGUAACACGUAUCCAACCUGCCGUCUACUCUUGGACAGCCUUCUGAAAGGAAGAUUAAUACAAGAUGGCAUCAUGAGUCCGCAUGUUCACAUGAUUAAAGGUAUUCCGGUAGACGAUGGGGAUGCGUUCCAUUAGAUGGUAGGCGGGGUAACGGCCCACCUAGUCUUCGAUGGAUAGGGGUUCUGAGAGGAAGGUCCCCCACAUUGGAACUGAGACACGGUCCAAACUCCUACGGGAGGCAGCAGUGAGGAAUAUUGGUCAAUGGGCGAGAGCCUGAACCAGCCAAGUAGCGUGAAGGAUGACUGCCCUAUGGGUUGUAAACUUCUUUUAUAAAGGAAUAAAGUCGGGUAUGCAUACCCGUUUGCAUGUACUUUAUGAAUAAGGAUCGGCUAACUCCGUGCCAGCAGCCGCGGUAAUACGGAGGAUCCGAGCGUUAUCCGGAUUUAUUGGGUUUAAAGGGAGCGUAGAUGGAUGUUUAAGUCAGUUGUGAAAGUUUGCGGCUCAACCGUAAAAUUGCAGUUGAUACUGGAUAUCUUGAGUGCAGUUGAGGCAGGCGGAAUUCGUGGUGUAGCGGUGAAAUGCUUAGAUAUCACGAAGAACUCCGAUUGCGAAGGCAGCCUGCUAAGCUGCAACUGACAUUGAGGCUCGAAAGUGUGGGUAUCAAACAGGAUUAGAUACCCUGGUAGUCCACACGGUAAACGAUGAAUACUCGCUGUUUGCGAUAUACGGCAAGCGGCCAAGCGAAAGCGUUAAGUAUUCCACCUGGGGAGUACGCCGGCAACGGUGAAACUCAAAGGAAUUGACGGGGGCCCGCACAAGCGGAGGAACAUGUGGUUUAAUUCGAUGAUACGCGAGGAACCUUACCCGGGCUUAAAUUGCAGAUGAAUUACGGUGAAAGCCGUAAGCCGCAAGGCAUCUGUGAAGGUGCUGCAUGGUUGUCGUCAGCUCGUGCCGUGAGGUGUCGGCUUAAGUGCCAUAACGAGCGCAAUCCUUGUUGUCAGUUACUAACAGGUUCCGCUGAGGACUCUGACAAGACUGCCAUCGUAAGAUGUGAGGAAGGUGGGGAUGACGUCAAAUCAGCACGGCCCUUACGUCCGGGGCUACACACGUGUUACAAUGGGGGGUACAGAGGGCCGCUACCACGCGAGUGGAUGCCAAUCCCCAAAACCUCUCUCAGUUCGGACUGGAGUCUGCAACCCGACUCCACGAAGCUGGAUUCGCUAGUAAUCGCGCAUCAGCCACGGCGCGGUGAAUACGUUCCCGGGCCUUGUACACACCGCCCGUCAAGCCAUGGGAGCCGGGGGUACCUGAAGUGCGUAACCGCGAGGAGCGCCCUAGGGUAAAACUGGUGACUGGGGCUAAGUCAUAACAA